GAGAGAGAGAGAGAGAAAGAGAUAGAGAGAGAAGAGAGAGAGAGAGAGAAAGAGAGAGAUUUCAAUGUUCGAGAUCAAAUAUUACAUAUAAAGUACAUAUGUAUUUCAAACAUAACCUAUAUCUGCGGCACCUAUCUCUUUCUCUCUUUAUCUCUCGACUUUUUUUGUUAUAAUAUACACGUACUUUUAUGUACGUAUCGAUGACCGAGAAACGCGGGUAAGUGUACAGGGUCCUACUCUCAACCGGACCCGACGCACACUGCCUUUAGUAGUCCUUUCCCGUUUAAAACGCACAUGUCGUCUGGCUACAUAUGUACAUCGGACAAAGAUAAAGUAGAUAUAGAAGACAUGAGAAGGAUCACAACGGGGGACGGCGGACGGUACUGGAUGCUGCUGGAGUAUGGCAAUAGGGAAAGGGAAGAGAGAGGAGGAAGAGUGAAACGUAGACUACGACGAGCCAAAGGAGAGACUUUCGCUUUCUGUACGCGACGUAGCCUAGCAGAGUCCACGGCCGAUCAAUAGCGCCGCGACGACGGUUAACUCUACGCCCCCCUCCCCUCUCUCCACUCCUCUCAUCCUCAUCCUCAUUCUCAUCCUCACUCUCACCCUCGCCCUCAAACCUCAUACUCCUACCAGUGUUUCUACCGACCAACCCAACCCAUAAAAUCCAUCCAUCCAUCCAUCCAUCCAUCCAUCCAUCCAUCCAUCCAUCCAUCCAUCCAGCCAACCAACCAACCAACCAACCAACCAACCGCCCACCAACCCACCUAAAAAUCUCACGCGUUUGUGUGAGGGUGGAAUUAUCGAGAUCCUGCUUCGUCGAAUGAAACUGAAACGAAAAUGACGAGAAGAGGGUGUUCAGGGAGAAGAGCAAAGAGGAGUCAAACAGAGAAGAGGAAAAGAGGGGCAAAUCAAGGACCUCCGGCUGGCUACCGAUCGCAUAAACGGCUCUCUUUUGCGCCCUUGCCCUCAUCCUUCUUCCUUACUCACACACUACUCUCACAUAUACAUACAUAUGCAUACACACUCAAUCACAUAUUAUCCUCUUCCUCACCUCUUUCCUCCUUCAUCUUCUCCUCUCUCUCUCUCUCUCUCUCUCUCUCUCUGGCUUUCUCUCUCCACUAAAACACUCCAACUGGAGUUCCAUAGGUUUUACAUAGGUGCGAAGUAGCCUGUCCCACAAUCGAAGAACUUUUCUUUUUACGUCGAAUUUAAACGAGCGUAUUUUUAUUCUACUCUCGAUUCCUCACAGGCAGCCUUUUCCCAAUGCGUUUCAAUAAUAAAACAAACUCGCCUGUGAACACCUGAGAGAGAAAGAAAGAGAAGGAGAAAGAAAGAGAAGGAGAAAGAAAAAACAGAGCAGGUUUUAAAAGUCUUUGAUGUUCCAUCUGAAGUAUAUAAAUUGUAUCUGAUCUUUUAUACGUUCAUCUAGAGUUUUCUGAUUGAUCUUUAAAAUGUCAAGGUAGACAGAGAUUUUAUAAUUUUUAUAAUACCAUCGAGUAUAGUUUCCUAUUGGCAUGUGAAUUAAAUCAUGAUUGUAUUAUAAUCGAUGGUUAAAUAUAUACUGUGUUAAAGAUGCAGCAAGAUUCUUCAAACUAUCAGCAUAAUUUUUCAAUACUGUAUCUGUGGUCAUGCAGCUUACACGAAAUUCAUAAAACAUAUCCAAUUUGUACACGCAUCUCUGACAGAUGUUCUUUGGAAGUGCAUCCUCC